CGUGCUCCGGGCGUCGGCCUGUG
rnacentral:snRNA from 1 species